UGUACGGUAUGGUAAAGAAUGUUCGACGAGUUCGAUGAAAUCUUCGCUUUUAUUAUUAUUAUUAUUAUUAUUAUAUUAAUUCGUAUAUUUAGUUCACAUAGGAAUAGGAUAAACAAGAUUUUUUAAUUUUUGAUAAAAAUGUAUGGAUCGUUUGUUUGUAGAGAUUGAAGAAUAUUCGGGGAAAGAUAUUAGGAAAUUUUGAAAUUGUCGCUCGCGACUUUUUUUUUCUUUACUUACUUAAACAUUUCCAAAUUGGAGAAUCGGAGUGGGUAAAAAACCAGAAGGGCAUACCUUCCUGGAUAGAUCUCGGAAUAAGACGCCAAAAAGGAUUCAAGCGUAAAAAGGAUAACAUCCUACUCCCGUUUCGUGUACUAUUCCAAUGAAAAGUUUCUUAUUAGAUAUUUGAUUCGAUUUACCCUAUCUAUGUAAAAAUAUAUAAUGUCUAAUACGAUAUCGAAGAGGCACGUAAAGGAGCAAUAAAGUUAUGAAUAUUUUAAGUGACUAUAUAAAGGAGAAAGAAAGAAGGAAAGAAAGAAAAAAAAAAAGACGAAGAAAAAGAGAGACAAAUACAGAAUAUUAUUUUGUUGCAGUGGAGAACGCUGAUUUUUCAAAAAGAGAAUUAACUAUAAAAUUUGAACGAUAAUCUUGUAACAAGGUUAAAUAACGGGCAUGAUUCGAAAUCUAUGCCGGUAAGAAUGAAAUACACCGAUUAUACUAAAUCGUACUAAACGUACCGAAACGUAUCGAAAUUUCGAAUUGUUGGUCGAAAAUGAUACGAACUUGGUACCGGUAUUCUAAUAAUUUUAAUUGGAAUUAUUUCAAUUGAAAGAAUUGAUAAAAAGUAAUUGGAAAUUGAUUAGAAUACAAACGGCUGAACUAAACCGGUCGUUUCAGAAAAUCAGGUUUAACACCAAAAGAAUUCUCGACACGCACCAGUUAUGUUGUUAUAUAUUCGAAAGAUCUCUUCGAAACAUUGUUCAAGAGAAAAACAUUAUUCGAAGGAAAAAUUGAUCUCGAAGUUGAUGGAUUUAUGGAUUCCGCAAA